GGGAAACAAAGCAAACCCAACAAUUGGGAGGCUAAAGGUGGCUUGCAGUGUUAGUGAGGUGGGUACGGGAGACAGCAAACCAGUGAUUUGCUUUCAAAGUACUGAUCUUGGAAAACUUUAAACAUCGCUAUAAGCAUUUAAAAAAGUCAGCUAGCUACAUCAAUAUUGUUGGACAUUUCUUAAUUUUAGGAGUGAGAUGUGAUUUUUUUUAAAUAGACUUUUUUCCAAGGUAAGUUGUAGAGAGAAUCAGAAGGCAAGGUAGAGAAGGACAGAAUAUUUGCGGCACACAGACUAGACCACUGACGUGUUCCUUGUCUGUGUCACCAUGGGACACUGGCUACCGUCUCGGACCUGCCUGCAUUGCCCAGUGAAAUCUAAGCACAUAACUGGAAUCCCAUCUGGAGCCUUCUUCAAAACCAUCAGGCUCUCAGAUUCCUGCUGUCCUUGCUUGACCCUGACCCCGCCCGGAGCCGCAGCUGAGGUAGAGACUGUGAUGUGGUUUGUCUCCCUCACGCGACCGCCCUAACGCAGAGUGCUAACGGCCACCACGCAGGUGCCACCGUGUGUAUGCAAAUGGACAAGAAAAUAAAGCAAGCUAUGACUGAAAACUAGUUUCUAAUACCAAAAUAUGAUGUCUGCUGACUAGGAUGUCAUAUAGCCUUCAGCCUCAUGGCAGCCUCUCCCUGAAGGGAAAUACUUCUGUCUAAGACUUCCUGGGAAGGCCCUAGUUAUAUGAAGAUAACACAAGAACAGAACCGUCAUGUUCAGAAGAGUCUUACCGAUGGGAAAAGGGAAGACCUAAUUCACUGAAUGUGUCCCUUGUCACCACCUAAAUAUGCUGGCUGCGUGCUGAUCUUACAAACCGACUCACAGUUCUUUCUGCAAAAGUAGGUACCAACCUCAGGAGUCCCAUUUCCUCAAAAGCAUCGCAUCCCAUUUAGUGAGACCCCAUGGAGUCAGGUGCCAAGGGCACUAACACCGUGUUACAGUUCCCUCCCUAGUCAUACACUUAACAGCAUGGAUACAUCACAAGAUCACUUGUCAGUCCUUCUCAGUUUAAUGGGUCUUUGUUUUCCCGAGAACAACGGGAACUAGAGGAGCAGAGGUCUUGCAUCAUCCAACUAGAAAUAGCUGCUGUUAAAUGCGGCUCUCUGUUGUUGUCCAAGUUUCGAAAUGAAGUUGAUACUUGAAGAGAAAGUUCAUCUAUUGGAUGGUAUCCGAUUUCCAGUGAUGUCAUCUCCUCUAGGUGAUUAAGGACCUAUUUGGUUUUCCAAUCACGCAAAUCAGCAGCUCUCAAAGGGAAUUUUAAUCAGCGGCAUUGCCCGCUGUGCUAAGAGCGUCCCUGGGAACGGGGCACUGCUGACCUUUCCUGCAUAGCAAAUUUAAAUCUGAAGCAUUGCGCUGCUCAGGAUUUCUGCCAUUUCCCCGCGGUGGUACGAGAUUAGAGAUGAACUUUCAGGCUCAGCGUACAUUACAAACACAGACGCAUAAGCUGUGAAGAGUCAGAAGCAGAGCGAUGUCUUUCCCUGGAUGCAAAGGUCACUGCUGUUUGUGCCCAUUCAUUUCAGCUGACCAUGUCUUCCUACGCUGACUGUCCCAGUUAGAGAGCUCCAAUUGGAAAACAGCUGUCCUUCUGAGUGUGCAGCGUGGUCCGCAUCAAGAUUGCCUACUAAAUUUAACUUUGUUCUCAUUGUGUUCUCAUCGAAGGGAGGAAAAAACCAGCUUUAUUUUUUUUCUGAUAAAACAUAUCAAAGAAGUCUGUUUCAGAAGUCUUACCUGGAGAACAAUGUAACAAAGACAGAAUCGUCAUUCAAUAUUGACAGUCGCCAUGUCCAGCUUUGUAUCACGUUUUAUUCUUUCCAAAGCAAUGUGCCCCAUCAAUUUCCAUCUCCCUAAUCAAACAGCACUGUUUAAGAAGGCCAUGGUAACUUAACACGUGCUGUGCUCUGCACAGUGGCAGGAUACAAC
rnacentral:lncRNA from 1 species